rnacentral:rRNA from 1 species
UACGAAGGGGGCUAGCGUUGCUCGGAAUCACUGGGCGUAAAGCGCACGUAGGCGGCUUAUUAAGUCAGGGGUGAAAUCCUGGAGCUCAACUCCAGAACUGCCUCUGAUACUGAUGAGCUUGAGUCCGGGAGAGGUGAGUGGAACUGCGAGUGUAGAGGUGAAAGUCGUAGAUAUUCGCAAGAACACCAGUGGCGAAGGCGGCUCACUGGCCCGGUUCUGACGCUGAGGUGCGAAAGCGUGGGGAGCAAACAGG